rnacentral:rRNA from 1 species
UACGGAGGGUGCAAGCGUUAUCCGGAUUCACUGGGUUUAAAGGGUGCGUAGGUGGGUUGGUAAGUCAGUGGUGAAAUCUCCGAGCUUAACGUGGAAACUGCCGUUGAUACUAUCAAUCUUGAAUAUCGCGUAGGUAAGCGGAAUAUGUCAUGUAGCGGUGAAAUGCUUAGAUAUGACAUAGAACACCAAUUGCGAAGGCAGCUUACUUCACGAUCAUUGACACUGAGGCACGAAAGCGUGGGGAGCAAACAGG